UGGGGAAUCUUGCACAAUGGGGGCAACCCUGAUGCAGCGACGCCGCGUGAGCGAUGAAGCCCUUCGGGGCGUAAAGCUCUUUCGACCAGAACGAUAAUGACGGUACCGGGAGAAGAAGCUGCGGCUAACUACGUGCCAGCAGCCGCGGUAAUACGUAGGGACCAGGCGUUGUUCGGAUUUACUGGGCGUAAAGGGCGCGUAGGCGGCAAUUCAAGUCAGCUGUGAAAUCUCUGGGCUUAACCCGGAACGGCCAGCUGAUACUGCUUUGCUAGAGUGCGGAAGGGGCAAUCGGAAUUCUUGGUGUAGCGGUAAAAUGCGUAGAUAUCAAGAGGAACACCUGAGGUGAAGACGGGUUGCUGGGCCGACACUGACGCUGAGGCGCGAAAGCCAGGGGAGCAAACG
rnacentral:rRNA from 1 species